UAAUGAACUGUAAAGGAUAUAAUCUAAAUAUUUCAGAUGUUUCGAAAACAGAACAGCAAAAGCGCUUCACAAAAAAUCUCUUUGAUUUCUAGGUUGCUUCCUACAUCUUGCUGCCAAAGUAGAAGCUCCUUGAGCUGAGGAUCUUUCCUUUUCCCCUUCCCCCUACCCCAUACUGCCUUCUAACCACUGACAGUGGGCAAAAAGUAUUCAUGUUUCAGUCCAGUACCUUUAUGCAUCUCACACUGGAGGGUUUUUUCCAUUCCCCUGGGGUUGGGCAGGCCAUGAUUAUCACUCUAAUAGAGUUAAUUAAGAGCCUUAAGGCCCUGACGUUUUGUUUUCUUUGGGACCAGACCUAUGGCUUGGGCCUCUAAGCUACCUGCUCUGCCGCAAGCCUCUCCCUGAAAAAACACCCAGGCAAAAUCCAGCAACUGGCUCUUCAGGCGCCAUGUGCACCCUACUGCUUUAGUGUGAGCUAGGGGAGCAAAUGUAGAUGUCUGCUCCUUGGCAUGUAGCUGAGCUCCACUAGCUGCAGUGAAUAGCUGAAACCAGGACAUGGACAAUAGCUCAAACAAAUAAAAAUGACCCUCAGAACUUAAUCAGUAAGACAAGGCACAUCUCAAAGAAGUCCAUGUCCAGGAUGGGCUUGAUGCUCAGAAUGCCAGUAGAGCAGCAAUCUGCUCAGAGAGCGGGUGAAGACCAUCAGAUUAGGGCUAUAAUCACUUAUCCUUAGCACCUGGGAGAGCCAUCCCUUAAAAUGCUCUUCUCCUCUUGCCACAGCCUCACUCAGCUCAGUAGGCACCUCUGAGAUCAGGGAAGAACCUUUUAUUUUUUUAAUAACUGCAGGAGCAUAGGGUCACUUUUACAUGUGAAAUAAGAUAAAAGGCUUUUAUGUGGGAAUUCUGCUGUCCUCUGGAGAGUUAUAAAGAUCAAAGACUUGAAGCAGUGGUUAAUUGCAGCUUUUGAAACUGUGACCACAACAGACUGUUUGAACUAUGGUGUGAGAGAAACUGAGCAUUUCCCCAGGCAACUCUGCGCAGGUACUAGCCACAGAGCUGACAAGGAAAGCUUUCAAAGCACAAUGAAAUGCAGCACGGGAGCUGCACCCAGAAGAGGAAACUCCGGCCAUCUGGAGAUGAGGAUGACCAGCGGCCACAGCAGUUUGUAAAAUUGCAAGAGCUGCCAAAAUUAAACUGUGAAGUCAGGCAGGAAGGCAACCAAUGACCGGUGAGAUCAGAAGUUCAGAGAUGCCCCAGAUGAGCUCCCAACAACAAGUGUGGCUGGCGUGCAACAAAGUUUAUUAAGGAUGUUGAGAGGAGGGGAAAGUAUCUGUGCAGAAGAUGCCCAGCUGGUGAGGAGGGACUGGCGGUGAUGCUCAGGUCACUUGAUGAAUCCCAUUGGCCAAGGCCCUGGGAGAUCCCACCCAUUCGCAAGUGUAAAAUAAAUCUCUAAAGUUGUACCUCA